rnacentral:rRNA from 1 species
UACAGAGGGGGCAAGCGUUGUUCGGAAUUACUGGGCGUAAAGGGCGCGUAGGCGGCCUUCUAAGUCGAACGUGAAAUCCCCGGGCUCAACCCGGGAACUGCGUCCGAUACUGGAAGGCUUGAAUCCGGGAGAGGGAUGCGGAAUUCCAGGUGUAGCGGUGAAAUGCGUAGAUAUCAGGAGGAACACCGGUGGCGAAGGCGGUUCUCUGGGCAUUACCUGACGCUGAGGAGCGAAAGUGUGGGGAGCGAACAGG